rnacentral:rRNA from 1 species
AGUCGUACGAGAGUUUUUAACUCAAGUGGCGGACGGGUGAGUAACACGUAAGAAUUUGCCUCUAGGAGGGGGACAACAAUUAGAAAUGAUUGCUAAUACCCCAUAUGCUUCCGAGUGAAAUGGAUUUUUCCGCCUAGAGAGAAGCUUGCGGCUGAUUAGCUUGUUGGUGAGGUAAUGGCUCACCAAGGCGACGACCAGUAUCUGGUUUGAGAGGACGAUCAGACGCACUGGAACUGAGACACGGUCCAGACUCCUACGGGAGGCAGCAGUGGGGAAUUUUCCGCAAUGGGCGAAAGCCUGACGGAGCAAUACCGCGUGAGGGAUGACGGCCUAUGGGUUGUAAACCUCUUUUUUCAGGGAGGAAUAAAUGACGUGUACCUGAAGAAUAAGCAUCGGCUAACUCCGUGCCAGCAGCCGCGGUAAGACGGAGGAUGCAAGUGUUAUCCGGAAUCACUGGGCGUAAAGCGUCUGUAGGUGGUCCAAUAAGUCAACUGUUAAAUCUUGAGGCUCAACCUCAAAAUCGCAGUCGAAACUAUUAGACUAGAGUAUAGUAGGGGUAAAGGGAAUUUCCAGUGGAGCGGUGAAAUGCGUAGAGAUUGGAAAGAACACCGAUGGCGAAGGCACUUUACUGGGCUAUUACUAACACUCAGAGACGAAAGCUAGGGUAGCAAAUGGGAUUAGAUACCCCAGUAGUCCUAGCCGUAAACAAUGGAUACUAGAUGUUGACCAGAUCGAC